ACUGAAGGGUUAAAAAGUUAAAAGCCGCUUCCCCCCCAACCUCCUCUGGUGAACUUUCCUGACCUUGUUAGAUUUGCUCUGCAUAGCCAUUAGUCAGUAAAUUACCCCAAUGUGAGCGUAACCUCAGUUUCACCUAAGUGAGAUAGAAGAAGUCACCAUAUAUCUCUGCCUCCUGGACCCCUGACUCCACCAUGUGUCCCUUAUCGCCAUUCGGCUGCAUUCCUAGGUACCACUCCCUGUAUUCAUAAAUCAACUGGUUGUAAAAUCACUUAACUUGUAUCAAUUGUUUACUCUAUACCACUGUCUGCUCUAUGCAAUGAUUGAUUUUCUUUGUUUCAAUGUGUAUAAAAACCCCAACCCAAGACUAUUCGAGGCCGCUCGCCUGUACUGGGACGGGGGCCCCGACAUGUCGGAACAUCAAUAAACUUUACCCUUUGUUAAUUACAUGAGAGAAGGUCUCUUGGAGCGUUUUUGGGGUGGCAAGAGCAAUUCAACUCUAAUUCGACUGUAACAUAUGGAGGUCCCACCGAGAUGGCUCUGCUGCCCACGGACGUCUCCAACGGACAUCUCUCGGGGUAAGUAAAGGCGCCUAAAGGAUAGGGACUCUGUGCACGUGCAUUUCUGUUUCUGUAUCUGGUUCAGGCCUGAAGCGGUUUCGGGCUGGCACGGUAGACGUUGGGUGGCAGACGUGCCUGGAAGCCACAACGCUACAGCCUCGAGGGACGCCUCGGGAGGACCGGGAGACUGAGGACGCUCAGCGAAACUCCCAUCUGGAAUUCCCGCGGUCGGGAAUUCGGUGCCAGCAUCAGUAUUCACCCUUUGUCUUUCAGGUUUUACUUCUAUUGCAUAAACUGUUUUCAGACUCACAUUUUGUGUUGCCGGCAUUGUCACAGGACUCUGAUGUGGUUCCGGAGUCUGUGUUUGUCUGUUUGUGUGUGGCAUUGUCGCGAGACUCUGAAGUGGUCCCGGAGUCUGCAUUUGUAGGUUCUGAUGUGGUUCCGGAACUUGCAUUUGUAUUGUCGGCAUUGUCACAGGACUCUGAUGUGGUUCCGGAGUCUGUGUUUGUCUGUUUGUGUGUGGCAUAGUCGCGAGACUCUGAUGUGGUCCCGGAGUCUGCAUUUGUAGGUUCUGAUGUGGUUCUGGAACUUGCAUUUGUAUUGUCGGCAUUGUCACAGGACUCUGAUGUGGUUCCGGAGUCUGUGUUUGUCUGUUUGUGUGUGGCAUAGUCGCGAGACUCUGAUGUGGUCCCGGAGUCUGCAUUUGUAGGUUCUGAUGUGGUUCCGGAACUUGCAUUUGUAUUGUCGGCAUUGUCACAGGACUCUGAUGUGGUUCCGGAGUCUGUGUUUGUCUGUUUGUGUGUGGCAUAGUCGCGAGACUCUGAAGUGGUCCCAGAGUCUGCAUUUGUAGGUUCUGAAGUGGUUCCGGAACUUGCAUUCGUAUCUGUGUCUGUGUGUCAGUGUGGUUCUCGGAUCCCAUCUGGGACUCUGUAGGGGGGCAGGCUCCCCACCUCUGUAGGAACGAAGUGGUCGCUCCCGCAGGCGUGAGGCCGAUGUUCCAUUUUUGUCUUUUUUGUUUUGUUCAGUGCCUUUUUGUGAGUCUCUUUGGUGUUUGUUUUUGGCUAUUUGUAUUUACCUUUCUGAAAUUCAGACAAUGGGACGGAUUUAGACAACUCUUAGAAAGGGAGACUAACCACCCUUUGUUCUGCAGAUUGGCCUACCUUUAAAGUAGGAUGGGCGCCUAAGGGCACCCUUGACAUCCUGGUCUGGCAAGAUCUGGUAAAAACUCCCUUUCCUGGUUAAAGCCUCUUUUACUCCCUCAGAAACAACCUUCAAAAAACAGAUUUUAGUCGUCCAGGACCGUCCCAGCAAAGCAGAUAAAACAAACUAAGACUUCAGCCUCGGUGCCGCUCUAUUCUGUUUUACAGGGCGACUCUGAAGAUUUGAUUUUCCCUCCUCCCUACCAGCCGCCCGGCCCUGGCUGCGGGGCCGGCAGCGGGGGCCACAGGAGAGGCUAAGAGAAACAGCUCCCCAGGGGCCAGCAGAUCCCUCCACUUUCCCUUCACAGGCAGCAGGGAAACCCCUGCUGUGCCAUUAGCAAGUGCUGAAACCCCCUGUGUGUUCAAACAAAGCUGGCCCUUUGAGCCUCAACCUGCAGGACUCAGCUGGGGCCCAGGAAUGGCAGGCGGAGGAUGGGAAGGCGCGCCUCCUGACUUAUUCCUCAGGAUCCUAACUCCCCGAGCCAUACCCGUCCCCCCAGACUGACUCCCCAUGGCCGACCAAAUGGGGCAAAUGGAUGGAUCUCCUGGACUUCAGGACCCGGUAAGUCACCCUGGGGCACUCAGUACUCAGGCCCGCCUUUGUGUGGAAGGGGGGGCUUCUGUUGCCCCUCUACCAGGGACCUGCCUGGUGUCUGCAAUGGAAAAGAGCGUGUGUGUGGUGUAAAUGUGUUUGUGGCUCCACGGCCCUGCAGCUACAGAGUCUAAAUGGGCCGUAACCUGCAGCUCCGUGUUCACCAGGCGGGCGAAGCAAUCUCACUCCGGAUCAGUGCCUGUUCCGGAGGUCUUUAUCUCUUGUUUUGUACAACCAAGGGGGACACAUUAUGGAAAAAUUCCAUUCAAAACCAACUGUUCUAAACUGUAUAAUAAAAACUUUAAAAAUAUUGUCUUAAUUUAAAAAUUCUUAACAGGUUAUUCCAAAAUGUAAAUGAGUUUUUAUCAGCUCUUUUCUGUGCUGCUGUCCCUGACUUAUCUGAUGAGAGUGUUCACCUGUCUUGAAGGUUUCAUGUUUUUCUAUUUGUAGUACUGAGACUACGUUGUUUAUCUGUUUUUAAUGUUUGAGUGAUUACCCAACUGAUGAAAAAUGUACUAAUUUUGGCUAAAUGGUUUGACUCUGACAGCUUAAAUUCUAAAUCGAGUCUUCCAACUUUGGGCUUCCAGUCGGAUCCCUGGAACUCUCAAAGGAUGAGACUCUGAGUUUAUUAAAGUAACAGCUGCUUGAGUCAAUUCAGAUUAUAUAAAAUAUAUUAAAAUGUUAUAAAUAGUGUCAGACCUAUGCUGUAUUCAUGUUUUUGCUUUCCAGCUAAAAUGGUCUUAUAAAAAUAAGAAUAAAUUCUAUGUAUACAAGCCUUUAUGUUAUUAACUAAAGUAAGCCAAUGCAGAUUGGUUCAGAAAAUUGAGAUAAUACAAAUGCCCUUCGGUUUGCUCAGUGGCUUGCUUGCUCAGUUUUACAUGUCUUUGAUGUGCUUUAAACUUGUUUCUUUUAAUGAUAAAGAUCUUUUCAAAGUUGUAACCAUGCACUAGUGACCAUGUUUGCUGCUCAGGAGGUGUUGUCCUUAUAUUACUUAAAAGCAUGGAAAUGUAAUUUUGACUUCUAUUUCAGAUACUGGUAUGGUAUUCAUUAAUAAUUCUGUGUCUUAAGUCAUCUAGCAUCAGUACUAAGUAAAACUUAGAAGAGUGUAUUAUGUAUACUUUUAACAUCUCAAAUUCGAUAAGAGAGACUGUUUGAGUCUUGUUAGCAUGUAUUCUCAUAGGUUGUCCACACAUGACAAUUCAAGGCUAUAUAAAAGUAACUACGGGUGUAAAGUUUCCAAAAGUGUAAACAAGUCAUAAAAAGUUUUAAAAUGUUUAAAAAUGGUCUAAAUCAUAAAUCUUAAAAUCUGUUUUCACAAAAACUGUAAUGUCUAUUUUAACAGUGUCUGCUUAAUCGGCUACCCUGCCAUUUCUAAAAUUAGGUCCUGUAAGCUCUUUUUGACUCUGUUAAAUUAUUCUGAGUUAUAUGAUAAUUGUGUACUAACUCUAAUGUUCAGGGUUUUUAUUUCUGGCUUACUCGACAACAAGAGGGAUAAAAUUCAUGAUCUGGCUAAGUAAUUUAUUGUGUAACAACCAGGCAUUACUAAUUCAAAUAUAGAUAAAAAGUGUGCCAAAAGAGACUUAGAGACGACGGGAGAUGGUUAUGUGGCAAAUGCUGUGAAAACCCAGAAACCCAGGCCCAUAACCCACUGGCUACACGGUAAAUAUCUGGAGGCCAAAGGAUGGCAGAGACCUCUGCCACAAUUUCUCCUCUAAGUCAGGCUACGCAGUAAGCACUGGUUAAACGCUGGUUAAAUCUGAAAGCCCAGGAAGUCAGGCUAGAGACCUGACUCACUGCCUCACUUCUCCUCUUUUCUUUUCCAGAAGGGAAGUUACCACUGUUCUGCAGGACUCUCUACAGUAAUAUACAGUUUGACCCCCAGACCUUAUGUAAGGGAUGACUGACCAUUUCUAUAAUAAUGCCUAGUCACAGUAUAGAGGACCAAACAGCAUAGCCAAAAUAAGAGGUUAAAAUGUGACAGCUAGAUCGAUUUUUUGGUGUACGCGGUAAAUGGGCAGAACUUCCCUUUUAAACCAAAUUGAGGGAUAGAUAGGAAGUUGUACUGAUGACCUCAAAGUAUGCAAGCAGGUCACCACAAUUGAUCUUACCUAAAAGAUCAUAGUUCUCCUCAUGGGCACGGUCUUAACUCGCAGGAAAAUACUAAGUGUCAGAAUUUGCCCAUGACCAUAGUUUUUUAGCUCACCCUGAUAUUAAAAAAAAAAAAACUCCAAAAAUCAGGGACGGGGUUGAGCACCCCCUUGACUGACAUCAUAAAGGCUGCCUCCUUGGUCCACUUUAUUAGAGACCAGGAAAUUGAGGAGCAAGCUAGCAGCAGGAGCGAUGUAAAGAUGGGCAACAGGCCAAUCAGUGGCUGCUUUACACGGUGAUCCACUGUCAAGGAAACCCAGCAAAGCCAAUGCACCCCAAAUGGCACCUGUUGCUGACAUAAGGAGCCAGGGCAUUGGGCAAGCAGCUGUUGUAACAGCGACUGCCUUCUGUCAGCUCUGCCAAGAGCAAGGCUACUGGACAUGGAACUGCCCUGGGUGUCGAAGGACUCCUGGUUCAGAACCGCAGACCCUGUGGCCCCGAGCUAAAAAGCCUUUGGCUCUGCCCAGCUUCCAGCUCCAGCCACUGCUAUUGGGGAUGGCCUAGGGUCAGUAAAAUACAAGUUGCCUAUUUCUAUCAGCCUCCUAUUCAGCUCUCCUCCUAGUCCAGCCAGGUAAUGCAAGUCAACAGGGUGCCUCCCUUAAGGGAGAUUUGCAUCUCUUACAAUUCUCUUAAUAGCACCCCAUGGAUAGGUCUGGGCCUUACACACCCAGCCAGGCCUUAAAAAUAAACUUAAAAAGCCCUCCCUGCCAGUUCCAGGGGAAAGUGGUCCCCUCCACUCCUGUACUGAGACUAUAGACUUGAUCUAUGCCAGCAGAAGGGACCCAAGAGACAGUCCCCUGACUAACACAGAUGAAGUUUGGUUCAUAGAUGGAAGCAGCUUUGUCAGACUGGACCUGCUUCUCAGGGUAUGCAACAGUUACAGCAUGCUCUGCCCCCAGGAACUUUUGCUCAUUUAGCAGAACUGAUUGCCUUAACCAGAGCUCUAAAUCACACAAGGGAUUUGUAAGGCACCUUCACUCUGCAUGGAGACCUCAGUCUUCCGGUAAGGCAGAAAGAGCCAACCAGGCUCUAUAAAAAACAUCACAAGGAUAGAAAUAUGUACUUGGUAAGUAAGGUUUAGAAAAAAAGAGUGUUCUUGGUAAAAAGGGUUAAAAAAAAAAAGAGCUUUUUAAAUAAAAAAAAAACAUGGUUUGUAAAAAUCCUGAUGGCUAGUUUACUCUAGACUGGAAUGGAAAUAAUAGAAUGUUUCAAGUAAGUUAAAGAGAGUGUGUGAAGUCACAAAAGGUUAUAAAAAAAAAAAAAUUAAACAUGCUAACUACUGCUCCAGGAGCUAUUUAUGCCAUGUUCCAGAAAAAAUGUUGUCUCUGGGUCAAUCAGACUAGACAAGUACAAAUCCAAAUUUUCCUGGAAAAAGCCAAACAGCUCCAGGACCAGGCAAAGCAGGGCUGGGAUUUCUGGCCUGAUAUCUGGUCACGGAAAUCCUGGCUGUUUCCUCUCCUUGGCCCAAUAACUUCUGCAAUCUUGAUGCUUCUCUUUGCACUGUGUGUUUUUAAUGCCCUUGUUCGUUUUGUCUCUAACAGACUAAAAGCUGUUAAACUCCAAAUGGUCAUCAGGCAAGGCUUCCAGCCCAUUCCACUGGACGACCUGAACAGCCCUCUGGACCGAGCGGCACCGUCUUUCCAAGGCCACUGUUGCACACCAUAAGACAGGUAGCAAGAGGAAAUACCCAAACCCCCUCGACGCCCACAUGCCAGCUUCGAAGAAGUUACAGAAAACGGAACUCCAUCCAUAAUCCCAAAGAAGAAUUUUGGGUAUUACCUCUUGAGGGGAAAAUACUAGGCAGAAAGUCAGUUAUGAGCUUAUGUGUGUGUGACAUAAAGGCCUAAUGUGUCCAGCAUAUGCAUCUGCACCUCAGUCAUCCUGACAAUGUUUCACUGGAAGCCUGGCCUUUGCAUCCUGCCCUGCCCCCUUCUACCUGAUAACCUGCCAGGUGGAGAUCCCCACCCCUUCUGCCUGACAAAUCUUCCACAACCUCCCAGAUACAGCCCAGUAUCUGCAUUUCAGUAUUGCAGAACAGGUGGGGGUUGAAUCUCAUUUUCAUAGAGGAGGGGGGGUUAUGCGCAGCCCUUAAGGAGGAAUGCUGCUUCUAUGUAGACAAGACAAGGGUGGCGAGGGACAACAUGGCUCAACUACGUAAACGCUUAGAGAAAAGACAGUGGGACAGACUUCAGCAACAGGGAUGAUUUGAGUCGUGGUUCACUAAGUCUCCCUAGCUAAAAAUGUUAAACUCAUGGUAAUUCAUCAACAAUAUGUAACACACGGAGAAGGGGAAACAGAUGGUCUCUAAGAUUAGAGACCCUGGCCUAAGAGGAGUGGGGAAUGAAGGGUUAAAAAGUUAAAAGCCGCUUCCCCCCCAACCUCCUCUGGUGAACUUUCCUGACCUUGUUAGAUUUGCUCUGCAUAGCCAUUAGUCAGUAAAUUACCCCAAUGUGAGCGUAACCUCAGUUUCACCUAAGUGAGAUAGAAGAAGUCACCAUAUAUCUCUGCCUCCUGGACCCCUGACUCCACCAUGUGUCCCUUAUCGCCAUUCGGCUGCAUUCCUAGGUACCACUCCCUGUAUUCAUAAAUCAACUGGUUGUAAAAUCACUUAACUUGUAUCAAUUGUUUACUCUAUACCACUGUCUGCUCUAUGCAAUGAUUGAUUUUCUUUGUUUCAAUGUGUAUAAAAACCCCAACCCAAGACUAUUCGAGGCCGCUCGCCUGUACUGGGACGGGGGCCCGACAUGUCGGAACAUCAAUAAACUUUACCCUUUGUUAAUUACA